UGGGGGCCCGCACAAGCGGUGGAGCAUGUGGUUUAAUUCGAAGCAACGCGAAGAACCUUACCAAAUCUUGACAUCCUCUGACCCCUCUAGAGAUAGAGUUUUCCCCUUCGGGGGACAGAGUGACAGGUGGUGCAUGGUUGUCGUCAGCUCGUGUCGUGAGAUGUUGGGUUAAGUCCCGCAACGAGCGCAACCCUUAAGCUUAGUUGCCAUCAUUAAGUUGGGCACUUUAAGUUGACUGCCGGUGACAAACCGGAGGAAGGUGGGGAUGACGUCAAAUCAUCAUGCCCCUUAUGAUUUGGGCUACACACGUGCUACAAUGGACAAUACAAAGGGCAGCGAAACCGCGAGGUCAAGCAAAUCCCAUAAAGUUGUUCUCAGUUCGGAUUGUAGUCUGCAACUCGACUAUAUGAAGC
rnacentral:rRNA from 1 species